UCUCUGGAGAAUCACCAAGACUUUUCUCUGCUCCCUCUCUUUUUCCACAAUCAUUCCUCAACAAUCGGAAAAGAAUCACUAAAACCAGAGAAGAAAGCUUCUCUGUACUCUCUCUGAAUUCAGCACCUUCAUCAUCUUCUUCGCAUCAAUUCUGCAAUCUUCUUCAAUCUUUAAACUCGCUCGGCUUUCUCUCUGCAACUCCAAUGAUCCAACCUUCAAUCAUCAUCUUCGUCAAGAAUUCUGCAUCAUCAUCAUUAACGAUUCACUCUCCAUCUGCAAGAGCAACAACAACGCAACUGAAGCACAGAGUACAGGGAGAUCCGAAAUUGCAGAAAUUGCAGAAGAAGAACGCACGCGGAAGGAGAAGAUUAAAACCAAGAGCGCCUAUCUGA